UACAGAGGUGGCAAGCGUUGUUCGGAAUUACUGGGCGUAAAGGGCGCGUAGGCGGCCAUCUAAGUCAGACGUGAAAUCCCCCGGCUCAACCUGGGAACUGCGUCUGAUACUGGACGGCUUGAGUUUGGGAGAGGGAUGUAGAAUUCCAGGUGUAGCGGUGAAAUGCGUAGAUAUCUGGAGGAAUACCGGUGGCGAAGGCGGCAUCCUGGACCAAUACUGACGCUGAGGAGCGAAAGCCAGGGGAGCAAACAGG
rnacentral:rRNA from 1 species